rnacentral:rRNA from 1 species
GCUGAAACCCGCCUCCAUGAAGUUGGAUUCGCUAGUAAUCGCGCAUCAGCCAUGGCGCGGUGAAUACGUUCCCGGGCCUUGUACACACCGCCCGUCAAGCCAUGGGAGCCGGGGGUGCCUGAAGUUCGUGACCGCAAGGAGCGACCUAGGGCAAAACUGGUGACUGGGGCUAAGUCGUAACAAGGUAUC